rnacentral:lncRNA from 1 species
UUAGCGCUAGGGCGGUGGGUUAGUUAGUUGAGUUGGGGGACGCCCUACAAGAAAUAAGAUACCUUAGAUAAAGUCAAUGAUAUUACAAGAAUCAGAGUCAUGUAAGUUGACUUCCUCAAGAAUGAUGUUUAUGAUAUGACAAGUUACAUCUAUGAUUCAUAAUGCACCUAACUUGAUUGACUUUAGCUUCAAUCUUUCAUGAUGAUUCUUU